rnacentral:lncRNA from 1 species
CACAUAGUGGGUUGAGGAUCAGGUAUUGCUGCAGCUGUGGUGAAGGCUGCACUCAGCUCUGACCUGGAUUUCCCUGGCCCAGGAACUUUCAUAUGCCAUGGGUGUGGCCAGAAAAAAAAAAUUGGAAUUAAAAAUAUAGCAGGCUCCCACAGUGGUUAAGAACAUGGGAACUAUAUUCAAUGUCUUUAAGAACCUAUAAUGGAAAAUAAUCUGAAAAAUAUACAUAUAACUGAAUCACUGCUGUAUAUCAGAAACUAACACAAUAUUAUAAAUCAACAGUAUUUCAAUUAAAAAGAAAAAGGACAAUUAAGUCAGCUUGAUAGGGUUCAAAUCUCAAUCCUUCACUUACCAGCUGUAUAACCUUGAGGAAGUUAUUUAAUCUCUCUGAAACUCAUUUUCUUCAUCUGUAAAAUGAAUGAUAAUAAUACCUGCUCAUAAGGUUAUUGUGAGGAUUAGUAAAUCAAGGCAUGCAAAGCAUUUAAGAACAAUUCACAGUAUAUUAAAAAAUGCUCAGAAAGUUUAAUCUAUUCUAGACUGGGCUCUGUCACUAGAUUGUUUUUUUUUUUUUUUUUAAUUUUAUUUUCCCACUGUACAGCAAGGGGGUGUCACUAGAUUGUUAAGUGACUUAGGGCCAGUCACCUUCCAUUUCUAGCCUUAAGUUUUCUCAUGUGUAAAAUGGGACAGUAAAAUCUACUUCAUAUUCCUGACAUGUCAAAAGUACUCAUUAAAUGAUCUUUUUUUGUCCUUUAUCUUGCACUAUGUCAAGGAAAUUCCACAAGCAUCAUUGAUAUAGUUGUCUGUGCUCAAAGUAGAUUUUGAAUAUUCAGCUAUCUCCCAUUGAUGUACGAAGCUGAUUCAGCCAGUAAAAAAGAAAGAAUACAAAAGCUACAGUCUAAUGAGGGAAAAAUCCCUUGGUGGGAUGGUAGUAGAAGAGAAGUGUCAGAGUAGGAGAAGCCUCUAAGGACAUCCUUAAGACAUCUGAUUCAAGCGGCAUAGUGAAAAACAGCGUUUAUGCAAUCAUGAUACAAUCCAGUCUCAAGUUUUAGCAGUUAAAGCUACAUUGGAGAUUAGCCCAGAUAAGAGAAUGGCAGAAACUAAAAAGGAAAAUGAGCUCUUUAAGAAGGAACUAUGAAAAGUGGGAGACUGAAAGAAAAGAAAGCAAGAGGAAGGAGAGAGAAAAAAGGAAGGAAGGACAUUUGGUCAGGUGGCAAUCAGGUUUAGGAGGUUCUGAGCAAAUACCUCCUUGCUCACAGUGAGAAAAACAUCACAAAUAGGAUUUUCCAGCUAAAGACAAAAGAGCAGACAGAUGAUCUUCAGGAGUGUAAGUCUCUAACUAGUAUAUUAAUCAAGGCCCCCUCUCCUUACUCCACCAGACUCUCCCAUCAACUAAACUCAAGUGCUAGUGAGAGAAACUCAGCAAUAACCCCCUGCUGUCAUUCUAGAUCAAUAUGCCUAGCGAUUUUGCCCAAGUCACUUAAUGCACAUGCUUGGAUUUUUCCCAUCUGUAAAAAUAAGUGAAGAAAGCUGCCAGGGGAAAGAUAAUUGACCAAUUCCUAACAUUUUUGGUCAGAUUAAUUGGAGUCAAUUUAGAGUAGAAAUACUGGAGCUUCUUAGCUUCCAAAUGAUCAUAAUUUACCCUACCAAAUAGCCUAAUUGGAAACAUUAUAGCUAUCAGUUGAUUUAGCUAACCAUAUAGUAACUCUACUUUCAGUUUUUUAAGGAACCUCCAUAUUAUUUUCCAUAGUGCUUGCACCAAUGAUCUUCCCACCGACAGUGUAUGACGGUUGCCUUUUCUUCACAUCCUCUCUAGCCUUUAUUAUUUGCAGACUUUUUGCUUAUGGCCAUUCUGAAUGAUGUGAGGUGAUACUUCGGUGUAGUUUUGAUUUACAUUUCCAUAAUAAUUAACAAUGCUGAGCAACUUUUUCAUGUGCCUACUGCCCAUCUGUAAGUCUUUCGAGAAAUGUCUAUUUAGGUCUUUUACUCAUUUUUUAAAUUGGUUUGUUUGUGUUUUUUUGUUACUGGAUUGUAUGAGCUUUUCAUAUAUAUUUUGGGGAUUAAGCCUUUGUCAGUCGCAUCAUUUGCAAAUAUUUUCUCCUAGUCCAUAGGUUGUUUUUUUUUUUUUUUCAUUUUUUUUACACUUUCCAUUGCUGUGCAAAAGCUUAUAAGUUUGAUUAGGUCCUAUUUGCUUAUUUUAAGUUUUUUCUUCUAUUGCCUUGGGAGACUGACCUAAGAAAACACUGCUAUGAUUUAUGUCAGAGAAUGUUUUGCCUAAAUUCUCUUCUAGGAGUUUUAUAGUGUCAUGUAUUACAUGUAAGUCUUUAAGCCAUUUUAAGUUCAUUGUUGUGUAUGGUGUGAGGGAAUGUUCUCAUUUUACUGAUUUACAUUGUCCUCUAUAUGCUCUGUUCAUAAGAAGAUGCAGGAGAAAUUGGGCAGUUACCCUGUUUUCCUCAGCCCUCUCUCUUUCAGCAAUUCCAAGAGUAGGAGAGGACUCACUUGAUUUUUCCCUCUGUUGGAAGCUCCCUGACUUCCUCCUCCUGGAACUAGGGCCUGUCCCCUUGGAAUGGGCUCCUUCUAGGAAUCAGACAACUACAUAACGACAGAAAGUAGAAGUGUGGCCUUAAAUCAGUGACCUAAUUUAAUUCUCUGUACCUUCUCCAAUCCUCAAAAGGAAGCCUAAAGAUAGAACUACAGCCUGGCUUGCUUUCUUGAAAUUUUAUGUCAGAAAAGGGUUUUUUUCAUGUCAAGCAGUUUCAUUCUUAAAGAUGGCUUGGGUAUGAUUACUCAGUUCUUUUUAGUACUUUGAUUCACCACAGGAAAGCAUGGCAGGUACAGAAAUCCUAACACCAUACCCAGAUCCACUUGCUUUGUCCAUAGUCUGCAAAAGAUGAUCUUACCUGCCUCAGCAACAUCUUUUCACACUGAACAUGUCUUUUCAAUUUUUUUUCUUUUUUCUUUUUUGUCUUUUUAGAGCCGCACCUGCGGUAUAUGGAGGGUCCCAGGCUUAGGAGUUGAAUUGGAGCUGUAGCCACUGGCCUACACCACAGCCAAAGUAAUGCCAGGCCCAAGCCACAUCUGCAGCCUACAUCACAGCUCACGGCAAUGCUGGAUCCUUAACCCACUGAGUGAGGCCAGGAAUUAAACCUGAGUCCUCAAGGAUGCUAGCAGAUUUGUUUCUGCUGAGCCAUGAUGGGAACUCCAACCAUUUCUUUUUUUUAACAGGAGGUGGUUUUGAAGGAUGGGGAGAGGAAAAGGAACACACACUUUCCUGAUGAACUUCCAAAUACAAGUACAAAAUAAAAUCACGGAUAAAAGUACAAAAGAUGGGCGAUUGCAAUUACUUAAAUUAGAAUUCUCAAAUGACAAAACAGUGGAGCUUGUAACUAUAAGUAUGAAAUAUUUAUUUCUGCAAAGUAUAUUUCCUUUCCUGGUCAGUUUGCUUGACUGGUAGUUUGUCCAGGUUGUUUAUCUGUCAUAUGUGUGAGUGCACACAUACAUGUGUGUGCAUGUGCAUAUGUUUUGGAGGCAAUAAUAAUGACAUACAGACUACCUUCAUUUUGUCCAUCUUCAUUUUGCCUUUCAAAUAGAGACAUAACAGAGUAGUUCCAGUUAUAAUUCCCUGGAAUUUCUGUAAAGGAAAUAAAAAGAUUUAGAACAAGAAUUUCUCAUUACUUAAAUGUAUGCUUAAGAAACUUGGAACUUAAUCUCUGAAAUCCAAAAUAAAUCUACCUCUAAAAUACAUAUCCUAAAUUUUAGAAUUCAUUUCAUAUGUCCUUAUUAUAAACUUAUAUUUUCAAAACUCGGGAAACAGCAUCCACUUCCUGCAACCAAAUCUAAGCUGAUUACUAUCUGUUAAAAAAUUAGCUCAAGCUUGGAAAGAGGCUAAAGAAAUUAGCGGGUGAUCUUUUACCGAAGUUCUCAGCUUACAUCUUCAGUUAGUUUUCUAUUGACUGGACUACUCUAUAACUCCAUAGGACAGGGGUUAACUUGAGGGUUUUUUUUUUUUGAUAGGUGAGAAAUAGAUUUAUUAAGAUAAGAUACCUGUGAGAGAUGCGAGCAGGCAGGCAAGGAGGCUCUGCCUAAUUUGUAGAUUUUUAUCUAACAUAGGUACAAAUAUUUUGUCUGUGGAAAAUAUAACUCCAAAGAUUAUGACUAAUGCACUUUAGGACUUUAAUUAGUUUUAUGUAUAAUUGAGAAAUCUUAACACUUCUUUAUGAAAUUGCCUAAAAUUACAUAGCUCCUAAAUUUUCAUUUGAACUGGCCUUAACAUCUCACUGAUUCCCUCAUUAAUUAGUGAGUUAAAUAAAAUCCUUUUUUUUUUUUUUUUUUUAAUGGCUGCACUUGUGGCAUAUGGAAAGUCCCAGGCUAGGGGUCGAAUCAGAGCUGUAGCUACAGGCAUAUACCACAGCCAUGGCAACACCAGAUCUGAGCCACAUCUGCAACCUAUACCACAGGUUGUGGCAACAAUAGAUCCUUAACCCAAUAAGCAAGGUCAGGGAUCAAACCUGCAUCCUCACGGACACUGUCGAGUUCUUCACCUGCUAAGCCACAACCGGAAUUCUUAAAUAAAAUCUUUGAUACCAUUUUAUAUUUAUAUAAGAGUCAUGUUUUUUAACUUUUAAAAAAAUUUUACUUUAUCAAACUCUAUGAAUAUACCACACAGAAAAUCCUUCUUUCUCUCCAUCCUUAACCCAAUUCAGAAAAGGCCAAUAAAGUAUAUUUAUUUUAGUUACUUAUUUCUUUCAGGUCUCCUAAGUCACUAAAUUUUCUAGGCCAAGACUAGAAAAUUUAACACGUAUUUUCAUCUUAAUUAUCCCAAACAAGAUUAGAUGGGACAAAAACCCAUAAUCUUGAGGGGAGUGUAAAAUCUAAGCUGAAAGAGUGUUUAGAGACAAGGGAUGCUCAACUGUCAGGAAAAAAAAUUAUCUAGACAACUGUGAUCACUUUAGAAGGAGAAGGCAUCUUCCAGUGCCCUCCAUGAGUCCUAAGUGACCUCAUUAAGGACACAAUUCACAUUCAAUAACCUAGGCAGAGCUGCAUCAAAUAACUUUAGGAGCCAGGGAGUUAACAGCAGUGAGAUGUAAUACAAUAUAAAAUGAAGCACCGGGUAUUGUGACAAAUCGGUGAAUACAUGCUUCCUAUAAAAUCAUCCAAUUAAAAAAAUUUUUUUUUGUUGUUUGUCUAUUUGGGGCCGCACCCAUGGCAUACGGAGGUUCCCAGGUUAGGGGUCAAAUUGGAGCUAUAGCUGCCAGCCUACAUCACAGCCACAGCAAUGUGGGAUCUGAGCUGCAUCUUCGACCUAGACCACAGCUCACGGCAACAAUGGAUCCUUAACCUACUGAGCAAGGCCAGGGAUCGAACCCUCAUCCUUAUGUAUACUAGUCAGGUUCGUUAACCACCGAGCCACAAUGGGAACUCCUCCAAUUUUUUUUAAAAGUAAAACGAACUACUGCGUAGGCAAAAAAAAAAAAAAAAAAAAAAA